UCCCCUAGUAACUGCGAGUGAAGCGGGAAAAGCUCAAAUUUAAAAUCUGACAGUCUUUGGCUGUCCGAGUUGUAAUCUAGAGAAGUGUUGCCCACACUGGACCGUGUACAAGUCUUCUGGAAUGAAGCGUCAUAGAGGGUGAGAAUCCCGUCUUUGACAUGGACUCCCAGUGUAUUGUGGCGUGCUCUCAAAGAGUCGAGUUGUUUGGGAAUGCAGCUCUAAAUGGGUGGUAACCUCCAUCUAAAGCUAAAUAUUGGCGAGAGACCGAUAGUGAACAAGUACCGUGAGGGAAAGAUGAAAAGAACUUUGGAAAGAGAGUUAAACAGUACGUGAAAUUGUUGAAAGGGAAACGCUUGAAGUCAGUCACAUUGGCCAGGGAUCAGCCUAGCUCUUUUGCUGAGUGUACUUCCUGGUUUGAUGGGCCAAUGUCAGUUUUGACUGCCAGAGAAGGGCAGAGGGAAUGUGGCACCUUCCGGGGUGUGUUAUAGCCUUUUGUUAUAUAUGGCAGUUGGGACUGAGGAAUGCAGCGCGCCCGCAAGGGCCGGGUUUCGACCACRUUCGCGCUUUGGAUGUUGGCA
rnacentral:rRNA from 1 species